rnacentral:tRNA from 1 species
GGGCGGAUAGCUCAGCUGGCAGAGCGUCGCCUUUACACGGCGAGGGUCACAGGUUCGAACCCUGUUCCGCCUA